AGGACGAACGCUGGCGGCGCGCCUAACACAUGCAAGUCGAACGAGCGAGAGAGAGCUUGCUUCUCGAGCGAGUGGCGAACGGGUGAGUAACGCGUGAGGAACCUGCCUCAAAGAGGGGGACAACAGUUGGAAACGACUGCUAAUACCGCAUAAGCCCACGGGUCGGCAUCGACCAGAGGGAAAAGGAGCAAUCCGCUUUGAGAUGGCCUCGCGUCCGAUUAGCUAGUUGGUGGGGUAAUGGCCUACCAAGUCGACGAUCAGUAGCCGGACUGAGAGGUUGAACGGCCACAUUGGGACUGAGACACGGCCCAGACUCCUACGGGAGGCAGCAGUGGGGAAUAUUGCACAAUGGGCGCAAGCCUGAUGCAGCAACGCCGCGUGGAGGAAGACGGUUUUCGGAUUGUAAACUCCUGUUCUUAGUGAAGAAUAAUGACGGUAGCUAAGGAGCAAGCCACGGCUAACUACGUG
rnacentral:rRNA from 1 species